AAUGAAGUGCCUGAACAAAAGGAUUAUCGUGAUAGGAUAAAUCAUAUAAUUAAUAAUUAUCUUCAUUA
rnacentral:tRNA from 1 species